AGCAGUCGCCACGGUAAUACGAAGGGUGCAAGCGUUACUCGGAAUUACUGGGCGUAAAGCGUGCGUAGGUGGUGGUUUAAGUCCGUUGUGAAAGCCCUGGGCUCAACCUGGGAAUUGCAGUGGAUACUGGGUCACUAGAGUGUGGUAGAGGAUAGUGGAAUUUCCGGUGUAGCAGUGAAAUGCGUAGAGAUCGGAAGGAACAUCUGUGGCGAAGGCGACUAUCUGGGCCAACACUGACACUGAGGCACGAAAGCGUGGGGAGCAAACAGGAUUAGAUACCCCCGUAGUCCCUGUCUCUUAUAA
rnacentral:rRNA from 1 species